rnacentral:rRNA from 1 species
CACAUCCAAGGAAGGCAGCAGGCACGCAAAUUACCCAAUCCCAGCUCUGGGAGGUAGUGACGAAAAAUAACAAUGCGGGACUCUUCCGAGUCUGCGUAAUUGGAAUGAGCACACUUUAAAUCCUUUAGCAACAACCAAUUGGAGGGCAAGUCUGGUGCCAGCAGCCGCGGUAAUUCCAGCUCCAAUAGCGUAUAUUAAAGUUGUUGCGGUUAAAAAGCUCGUAGUUCGAGUUCAGUUUCGGACUGGGGUGGGAGGUCACCGCCCGGUGCUUGCCCCCUAGGCUCCGAACAGCUUCCUAUAGUGGAAGCCAAGUCGGUUCUGGCGGGGUGCUCUUUACCGAGUGUCCCGUGCGGCCGGCCAGUUCACCUUGAAUAAAUGAGAGUGCUCAAAGCAGGCUACUCUGGAAUACAAUGCCCGAAUUUUGGUUGCAUGGAAUGAUGGAAGAUGAUCUCGGUUCCAUUUUGUUGGUGGUGGGAGCCAGAGGUAAUGAUAAAGAGGGACUGUCGGGGGCAUCCGUACUACGACGCGAGAGGUGAAAUUCAGUGACCGUCGUAGGACGAACAACAGCGAAAGCAUUUGCCAAGAAUGUCUUCGUUGAUCAAGAACGAAAGUUAGAGGAUCGAAGGCGAUCAGAUACCGCCCUAGUUCUAACCCUAAACGAUGCUGACUAGCAAUUCGCCGUCGUUAUUCCCAUGACGUGGCGAGACGCCCCCGGGAAACCUCAAGUUUUUGAGUUCCGGGGGUAGUAUGGUUGCAAAAGUGAAACUUAAAGGAAUUGACGGAAGGGCACCACCAGGAGUGGAGCCUGCGGCUUAAUUUGACUCAACACGGGAAAGCUCACCAGGCCCGGACACCAGAAGGAUUGACAGAUUAAGAGCUCUUUCUCGAUUUGGUGGGUGGUGGUGCAUGGCCGUUCUUAGUUGGUGGAGUGAUUUG